rnacentral:ncRNA from 1 species
GUUAGACCUGCGAGGAGAUGGCCAUCCAGAGGUAAGAGUGGGCAAAGCCCACCGCCAUCUCCUACCCACCCAAAGGGUGGGGAUUGCAGGUCGGGAGGU